CAGCAGCAGCACCAACAACAACAAAAUCAACAGCGACGACAGCAACGGCAUGCAUUGAAAGCACACAAGUCGAAUGUAUGCCGAACCAAAGCAAUCCACCAAAGCAUCGUCGUACAGUACAAGUACCAAAAUCUUCAACCAUUACACGGGCACACAAGCACUAUGACAAAGGCAUUUCAUUUGAAGGAGAAGAGAGAGACGAAUGAGAGAGGUAUAUCGUAAAGAAAAAGCACGCAAAUCCAUAUCGCUAUUGUGAUAGAAGAGCGAUAAAGAUAGAAGAAAAAAAACAACAUUCUAAACGCCAAACGAAAAAACAUGACGAAGAAGCGAUCGAAUAAACAACGUUGGCUGGCUGGCUGGCUUGCUUACUUGAAAAUCACAAUGGAACGGAAAAUCCCCAUGGAGAAAAGGCGCAAAAUAUUCCCGAUUUAAACGGAAAUUAAUGCAGAUUCAUUCGCUAUCUGGUGAUUUUAUGUGCGAUUAUAUCGUAUUAGACGUAAA